rnacentral:rRNA from 1 species
UUAAGAUAAUAUUCUUACAUAAUUUAUUAUUGUUAAUUAUUUAGAGAAAUAUCUUUAAUUUUAGUAUACUAAAGAAAAAAUUAAUUUGUGAUAGUUUAUUAGUACUGUGAAGGAAUUAGAUGAAAUAAUAUUGAAAAAUUUUCUUUAUUUAAGUAAAUUUAUUUUAUUGUACCUUUUGUAUCAGGGUUGAUCAAAUAUAUUUAAUAUAUUAUUAUUUUCUCGAUUUCAGAAGAGCUACUUAAUUAAUUUAGUUACUGUAUCAUGAUUAUUAAUAAUAUUAAUUAGAGAAGAAAUUUCAUUCGUUUUUAAAGGUAUCUAGUUUUUUAAGAAAUAAAUUAAAUUUAGAAUUAUAACUUAUUAAAUUAAUUUUUUAAUUUAAUAUAGUAUAAUAUUAAAAUAAUAGGGGAUAAGCUCUAUUUUUAUUCUAUAAAUUGUUUAAAAAUUCAAUUUAUGUAGGGUUAAGAUCAUCCAUCAUUUAAAAGUACGUUAUAGUAAAAAUUGAUUUAAUUUGAUUUAUUUAAUUUUAGUAUUUUAUUAAAAUAAUAAAUUUAACUAUAAAUUUUAUGAAAUAAUGAUUAAAUUAGUAUAAUUAUUUAUAAAAAGUUAUUAAAUUGAGAUGAUUGAAUAAGGAACUCGGCAAAUAAACACUCGCCUGUUUAACAAAAACAUGUCUUCUUGUUAUAUUUAGGAAGUCUGGCCUGCCCAGUGAAAAUAAUUUAACGGCCGCGGUAUACUGACCGUGCAAAGGUAGCAUAAUCAUUNNCCU